AGGACGAACGCUGGCGGCGUGCUUAACACAUGCAAGUCGAGCGGAAAGGCCACUUCGGUGGUACUCGAGCGGCGAACGGGUGAGUAACACGUGAGUAAUCUGCCCUCCACUUUGGGAUAGCCACCGGAAACGGUGAUUAAUACCGGAUAUGACCUUGGCCCGCAUGGGUUGUGGUGGAAAGUUUUUCGGUGGGGGAUGUGCUCGCGGCCUAUCAGCUUGAUGGUGGGGGAAUGGCCUACCAUGGCUUCGACGGGUAGCCGGCCUGAGAGGGUGACCGGCCACACUGGGACUGAGACACGGCCCAGACUCCUACGGGAGCAGCAGUGGGGAAUAUUGGGAACAAGU
rnacentral:rRNA from 1 species